rnacentral:rRNA from 1 species
CAGCACCUCAAGUGGUCAGGAUGAUUAUUGGGCCUAAAGCAUCCGUAGCCUGUUCUAUAAGUUUCCGGUUAAAUCCAUUAGCUCAACUAAUGGGCCGCCGAAAAUACUGUGGAACUAGGGAGUGGGAGAGGUAGACGGUACUCGGUAGGAAGGGGUAAAAUCCUUUGAUCUAUUGAUGACCACCUGUGGCGAAGGCGGUCUACCAGAACACGUCCGACGGUGAGGGAUGAAAGCUGGGGGAGCAAACCGGAUUAGAUACCCGAGUAGUCC